rnacentral:lncRNA from 1 species
AGUGACUGACUUAAAAUGUUUCUCUUUAAACUCUUGUGUGGGGGGUCGUUUUUGCAGUAUGCUUAAUAGCCUCAGCGGUACUUAAUCCACAGCAGUGAGCAGAAAGAGACAUCUAGAAACCGUGAAUGCUGAGUCUUUCCUCUAACAUGUUUAUAUGCGUGUUAAUGUGUAAGUCCUGCUUACCCAUGGGCCCUCAUGGGCCCCACUCUCUGUCAGUCUUUCCCUCCAACACAUGUUGUUCUUGACAACACAAAGGCUUUGGUAACUCCCACCAAAAACCCAAAAUAAAAGGAAAAUGUAAAACUAAAAAUCCUAAUUCCUCACUGUUUCAUGUUAACUUCAUUCUAACAAGAAUCUCUUAGCUAGUGGCUUAUGUGUAUAUUACUGAAUUUUUUUCAUGAAUUCUCAAAAAUUUCUGAACCUUUGUACAUCUCACAAUGGAAAGGAACUGAGUUCCCAGAAUUCAUGUUUCCAUUUCUUAACUCUUUGUUUCUUUGAUUAUUUUAUAAAGUUCUUCUUUUGGUUUAGGUUAAUGUGGAAACAAAGAGGCCUUUCAUACUAAGCAUUUGCUGACUCUUUCACAUGGUUUUGAAUCCACACAGGAAUCAGAAAUUAUUUGAAUAAGUUGUCACAAAGUGAGUUAACAUUAUUCUUCCUACUCUUUCAAAUACAAGCACCUUGUUUCCCAUUUGCCUACCGUUUGACAGUCCAUGAUUUUGAGCCAAACAGUAAUUGGUACUCUAAUAAUACAGGCAUUUAGUGAGAGAUAUUUCAGUAGUGUUUCACAGUGAAGUUGAUGUAAUGCAAGGGAGAGUGAGUAAUGAUACAUUUAGUUUUUCUCUCUUCAUGAUACCAUCUUAAUUUAGUUCCUAAUCUAAAAGUAAUAGAACUUUGGAGGGAAGAAAAUAUAUUAUAAGAUAAAGCAAUUAAUAAAAAUUAUUAGGUUUAUAUCUAAGUGAAUUUAGCAUAACUGUAUGUUUUGUUGGAAAAAGUUACAGAGCAGAAAAAAACAUUCAAUACUAAAAUUUUUAUUUAUUCAUCUCUCAAACAAUAUAUACAAUCCACCAUUUCCCUUCCUUCCCCUCCAUCCAGUGCCCAUCCCAAUAAUAUACUGCUCCUCCUUUCCCCUUUAGAAAAGAAACGCUGGCCUCCCAAGGAUAUCAAACAAAGAAGUUGCAAUGGGACUAGACACAUCCCAUCAUAUUAAGGCUGGACAAGGCAACCCCGUCCAAAGAACAGGCCAAAGAGUCAAAGACACUCCCACUCUCACUGUUAGGAGUCCCACAAAAACACUACACCAAACAACUACAACAUACGGUCCCAUGCAGGCUCUGCGAUAGCCACUUCAGUGUCUGUGAGCCUCUAUGAAGCCUGCUGAGUUGAUUCUGUAGACUUGUUCUGGUUUGCUCUACUCCUCUGAGUCCUACAUUCCUUCCUCCCUGUCUUUUUGGGGUUCUCUGAAUUCUACUUAAUGUUUGGCUGUGGAUCUCUGAAUAUGCUCUCAUCAGUUGCUAAAGACUCUCUGAUGGGGUUUAGGCUAGACAUCAAUCUGAGUAUAGCAGAAUAUCAUUAGGAAACAUUUCAUUCACAUGGGUCUAUGGGUGCCAUUCUUUUCAAACCAGGGUGGUGGUGGUGGUGGUGGUGGUGUUUUAAUUUCCUUUGUUUUCAUGAAUGUUGUUAACCUGAACAGGUUGGAGUACUCCUUCGAGAGCCUUCUGUAGGGCUGGAUUUCUACAUAGAUGUUGUUUAAAUUUGACUUUAUAAUGGAAUGUCUUGUUUUUUUCCAUCUAUGGUGAUGGGAAGGUUUGUUGGGUAUAGUAGUCUGGGCUGGCAUAUGUGCUUUCUUAGAAUCUUCAGGACAUCUCUCCAGGCCCUUCUGACUUUUACAGUCUCCAUUGAAAAGUCGGUGUCAUUCUAGUAUGUGUGUAAUAGGUCCUUUUUUCUUGCAGCUUUCAAUAUUCUUUCUUUGUUCUGUAUGGUUUGUGUUUAUUAUUACGUAGUGUACAGGCUAGUUUUGUGUCAACUUGACACAGCUGGAGUUAUCACAGAAAAAGGAGCUUCAGUUGAGGAAAAGCCUCCAUGAGAUCCAGCUGUGGGGUAUUUUCUCAAUUAGUGAUCAAAGGGGAAAGGCCCCUUGUGGGUGGGACCAUCUCUGGGUUGGUAGUCUUGGGUUCUGUAAGAGAGCAGGCUGAGCAAGCCAGGGGAGGCAAGCCAGUAAAGAACAUCCCUCCAUGGCCUCUGCAUCAGCUCCUGCUUUCUGACCUGCUUGAGUUCCAGUCCUGACUUCCUUUGGUGAUGAACAGCAAUGUGGAAGAGUAAGCUGAAUAAACCCUUUCCUCCCCAGUGCUUCUUGGUCAUAAUGUUUGUUCAGGAAUAGAAACCCUGACUAACACAUAUGGUGACAGGACUUUCUCUUUUGGUUCAGUCUAUUUUGUGUUCUGUAAGCUUAUCACACCUUUAUAAGCAUGUCCUUCUUAGGUUAGUCAAAUUUUCAUCUAUGAUUUUCUUGAAAAUAUUUUCUGGGACUUUGAACUAAAUUCUUUUAUUCCUAUUAUUCUUAGGCUUGGUCUUUUUAUAGUGUCCUAUACUUCCUAGGGAUACAGUUGCAGGGGGACCACUGAAAGAGUGGAGCAAGUUCUCGUGAGACAGCUUACCUAGCUCCACAGGGUAUGUCUACCUGAGGGAACAGAGAGUGGGAAGGUCCUCCUACAGGGUGGGUGGCCUACAAGGGCAGGAGCUCUCUGUUGGCAACUUGGACACAGGAGCCAGGUGGGGAGUGACAACUGAGGAUUGGGUCUGUUGGAAGCUAGUUCAUGACAAAGGUCUGUGGGCACGUAGCCUACCUAGUUUUCUGGAAGAGGUGCCAUGGUCUUAAAUCUUAAAAUUCUUAAAUUAUAAUAAUAUGUAUAAUUAUAAUGUAAAAAAUAUCUCCUUCCUAGCUCUAUUUCCCAAAUGGUACUAGUUUUUGAAGCUCUCAGUCACAUAUAAGCAAGACUAUAGUCAAUUUUUAAUGGGAAUAAAAUCGUAUUUUACAUUGAGUUUACUGGGUCCAUCUAUGAAGACCUGGCUGUCCUGGAACUUAGUAUAUAGAUCAAGCUGUCUUUGAACUCCAGAGAUCUUUCUGCCUCUGCCCCCAAAGUGCUAGGAUUAAAGGUGUGUGCCAUCAAAUCUGACUCAUAAAUUUUUUGAAAUGUAAUAAUUUAUUGUGCACAUUUUUAUUUUUACAAAGUUGGGGCAUAUAGUUUGUAUGUUUUGACUGUUUCUCACUGACGAACAUAUCUGAUUUAGAUAUUUUUUCAUUUAUUUAUUUUAUUGGGUGUAUGGUGGAAGAGAGAAAAUGGAUCAAAAGGCUGAUUUAGAUAUUUUUAACCUUUAUAUUUGAGCUAAGGUUUCCCUUCAUUUUAUGGUAUAGAUAGUAUAUGGCAUAGCCUGGAACUUUUGACGCAUCUUAAUUUAGGACAAAUUGUAAGUGCUAUUUUAAAAGCAAAAUGAUUAACAGAUCAGAUAAUCUAAGUGUCAUCGUCAUUUUUGAUUGUUUUUUAAUCUGCUUUAUCCCGUCUUCCAACAAGAUUGUCUGCUUUGACAGGCAGAAUUUUAGGUGAGUAGAGGUAUGGGUGAGGAAUAAAGAUAGGCUACCUGCACUCCCGAUAUUUAUAUUCUAACAGAGAGACAUAUGU